rnacentral:siRNA from 1 species
UCGUGCUACGUUCUUUGGAAG